AACCUAGCACACCUGCGGUGUGUACCUGCGGAAGGAUCAUUACCGAGUUAGGGUCUCCCGCGGCCCGAUCUCCCAACCCUCUGUUUAAGUCUUACCAACUGUUGCUUCGGCGGGCCGGUCUCCCCAGACCGCCGGAGGGUGCAACCGCCCUCUGGAGAGCGUCCGCCGACGGCCCCAUCUUAAAACCCUUUGUACCCAAUCGUGACGCCUAAAUUGACCUUUUGUAUAAUUGCGAAAACA
rnacentral:misc_RNA from 1 species